GCCGGUGAGAAUCCGGCACGGUACCGCCACUGUGUAGGGGGAGCGACUCCACCCACGGCCACCGGCCCCGCCAGGGUCCGGGAAGGCCGGAGAAGCCGUGAUCCCGAGUCAGGAGA
rnacentral:ncRNA from 2 species